CUUCUGAAUGCCGGCAGAGGACAUCAGGCACCCAGAAAAGCAACCCAACUCUUCGAAAGGAGAGGGAAAUGCAAAGACAUUUUUCAAGAUAAUGAGAGAGACUGGAUUCUGCCAACCCAGAGAUGGGACUGGGAACCAAAGACAAGCACCAGGCUCUUGAGAGAACAUAGGUUUGCUGCUGCUGCUGCUAAGUUCCUUCAGUCAUGUCGGACUCUGUGUGAC